UACGUAGGGUCCGAGCGUUGUCCGGAAUUAUUGGGCGUAAAGAGCUCGUAGGCGGUUUGUCGCGUCUGCUGUGAAAUCUCGAGGCUCAACCUCGGGCCUGCAGUGGGUACGGGCAGACUGGAGUGCGGUAGGGGAGAAUGGAAUUCCUGGUGUAGCGGUGGAAUGCGCAGAUAUCAGGAGGAACACCGGUGGCGAAGGCAGUUCUCUGGGCAGUAACUGACGCUGAGGAGCGAAAGCGUGGGGAGCGAACAGG
rnacentral:rRNA from 1 species